AAGUGACCAGCUGCUAGAGGUGGUUGGCUUGGAAGGAGCCAUGGAGAUGGGGCAAAUAUACACAGGACUGAAGAGUGCUGGGCGGCGGCUGGCUCAGUGUGCCUCUGUGGUCAUCAGGACUAGCAAGUCUCUGCCAAUGCAGAUCGAUGGGGAACCAUGGAUGCAGACCCCAUGCACAAUAAAAAUAACACACAAGAACCAAGCCCCAAUGCUGAUGGGCCCUCCUCCAAAAACCGGGUUGUUCUGCUCCCUCGUCAAAAGAACAAGAAACCGAAGCAAGGAAUAAUCCUUUACCAUUUCAUCCUUAGAGAUCAAUUAGCAUAAUUGGGCCAUGGAACACUUAUGGUGGACAUCUUUGAACCAUGUCAAGUCUGCUGCUCAUGAGAAAUGGAAUUGGUUUAACAAUUUUUGUUACUCAGCUAAUGUAAAAUUCAGCUAUUAGAAUAUUUAUUGUCUCAGUUUUUAUAGGCAUCUUUGCAUGAAGAAGGCAGUGUACAUCAAGUGAUACUGCAUAUUUUUGUUGCAUGCAUUCCCAUAGAUUUUUAUGUCUCCCACACAUACCUCCCCAGUUUUCAUUUACUAACCUGUGAGAAAAACCUGUGAAACAUGAAGAAGGAAAUGCCCUGAGAAUUGUGAGUCUCAGGGUGGUUCCAGUUGUGAAUAAGCACUAAUGCUACAGUGAUCACAUUCACAGAACACUAUACUUUCCCUUUUAGAAUUCAACAGUGUGUCAAUGAUCUUUGACCUAUGACCUGAAGAGAAACUUUUAAUUGAAGAUUUCAUUAAAUAGUUCUCUAUGAUAUCUUGUUGUAUCUACAUAGUUUUUCUUUGGUAUCUUAAUGCUUCUGAGUGGAAUUUAAAAUACCAGGUAUAAAGUUUUCUAGUGCUGAAAAAUAGAAAGUGGUUUUGUUUUGAGUCUUUUUUAAUUACAGAAAUUAGUGAAAACUUGUUACUUGGCAGUGAAGUGGCUUAUUCCUUUGUGCAUGUGAAUCUAAGAGAAAAUUUAUAACCACACCAGUAACCAAAUAGCUAUUUUAAACUAUGUGCCUAAUAGACACGUUUCCCACCAAAGAUUCACAAAAAGAUGCUUGAGGGAAAUAGGUUGAUAUAUAACUAGUAUUGUAGAGAAAAUUUAUCAUUCUUAUGAAUAAUUUUUGAUGACUAAAACUCUGGAAGAGAGUGAAUUGCCCAUUAAUUACAAUUAAAAUUCUCACCUUUCACAGAUGAACCGUACAACACAAUCAAAGCUCAAUAGCCUGAUGUCUUGCUUUUUUUGGUCAUUUAUAAAUAUAGGUGUCUAUAAUUUUUUAAUGAAUCAGUUAAGUACUCUUGAGAAAGUAAAUUAUUUUGUCAGUUUCAAUCUAGUAUAAAUUGAUACUAUAAUAAUGUUGAGCUCAUCGAAACAAAUCAUGCAUGUGGUCACCGCCCACCCCCACGUGCUCCUCUCCCAUCUAUAUGACACUUUAAGUAUUUAUUUGGAAAUAAUGGCCAAGAUCAUUAUUUAAGGUGCUCAUGGCAUGGUUAGAUUCUCUGAUUGUUUAAAGAAAUUAUGGAAUAGUACUUUUCUUAGUGUUUCAUUAAGCUUAUGAUACAAAAUGAAAUGCUAUUCUGAGCAGUUUUGGUAUUGUUCAUUCAUAUUGACCUGCAUUUCAUCCUUGCAUGUUUUAUGUUUUCAAACAUGCCAUAAAGAGAACAAGUGCUUGAAGUGCAUGAUUUAUUAGUUUCUCUCUCCAUUCUGCAUUAAAGUACUAAUGAUUUAUCAGUCCUAUUUUUCUGUUGAUUCAUUCAUCUUUGAAUAACAAAUAGCAUUUAGUGAUUCUGUUGAAUACAAUCCUGUGCAUGGAUUUAUGGAUUUCAAGUGAAAUUGUUGUAAUUUUUGUUCUUUGGUUUGAAAACUCAACUGAAUGCUGUUAUAUCAAAUAGCUACUCUCAAGCAAUGUGCUAUAAUGGAAGAUUAUGUAUAAAGCAUAUUCUUGUAGUGUUCUAGGAACAUUGGAUGGUAAAUAUCAAUCAACAAUAAGUUUAAUUGCUUUGAAAAUAAAAGCUUUUGAAUAAAAUUAAGGCAUAAUUUAGUAUUCCCAGGAAAAUUAUCAUUACAAUUGCAAAUGCAGCAUAGCAAUCACUUGCCCUAGUAUAAUUUUAAAAAGUUAUUUGGCAGAGAGUAAUCUAGACCGAAAGAAUUCUCAAAACAGUAACAAAUGCAUUACUGACAUAAUGUUACAUAACACACACAUUGAUUUUGUGUAUCUAUGGUUACAGGUAAUAAAUAUUUUCACAUAAAUUGACAAAAUUUUCUACAAUGGGCAGGCAGACUCUAUGUCAAAAACAUAUUCUGAAGCCACACAUUUUUUAUGUUCGGUACAACAUAUAAUUAUUUCUCAUCUACCUUUUAUAGUAUAUAGUCUGAAGGCAGCAACAGUUUGUGAAUCUUUCUUAACAACUGGUACAGUGGAAAGCUGUUGAAUAGACAGUGGGAUGAGAUAAAUCAAGCAACCUGCCUAUAAGACUUUAAUAAUUGACAUGAUAGAAUGCAGCUUUACUUCAGUGUGCUAUAUAACUACAUGAGUGCUAAUAUCGUCACUCACAUUUUUUCAGUCAGAGGGAUAUAUUGGUAUAUUCAGAUUGGAAACAAAAAUUAUUUUCCCCAACUCAUUCGCUAAACCCCUGGGGUUUAGAGAGGUACUUUUAAAAACCUCCUUUGAUGGUUUUGGAAUCAGAGAAGAUAUUGUCCUCAUUUUUAUGAUAGCUUUAAGUAGAAAAUACAUAUUAUAAGUAAAAUUCUAAACUGAAAGUUCUAUGGUAUAUUAAAAUACUUAAUAAUGAAUGUUAGCUUUACAAAAUGGAAAGUUUUUUUAUAUGUGUGUGGUUGAGUGAGUUGAGUCAACAUCUUUUAAAUAUAGUAGACACAGUAUUAUAAAGUUAUAAGUGGAUGAAGCUCAUAAGUAAAAAUCAGUACUGGGUUUGCAGGGGUCCAAGGAAAAGGGGAAAAGAGAUAAGCAAUUUGCUAAACAUUGCAAUGCACUGCUUGAUGAACAGAGAGAGAUUCCAGAAUAAAUCUGGAUAUCCAUGUUUCUAAUAGGACUCAAAGUGUCUGUGUAGGACCAGAAACUUUAAAGGACAUAAAUGUAUCUUAUCACUUACAUCUGCAUACUAUAUGUACUUGAUGCAAAAUUUAUACUGGUCUAUAAAUUGUGGACAAAGGAGAUAUCUUGUGAAGAUAAGAAAAUUUUUAAAAACUUUUCAUUUUUAAACAGGUUAUAUGAUUAUAGUCAGAAUAAAGCAAAGGCUCUGAUGUUUAGUCCACGGCAAGCAAAAAUUUUAAUUCAGUGGGAAUUAAUGAAUAACAUAUAUGUUUCUGCAUUUUGUUCUUUUUUUCCUCUAUUUUUAGGCGGAUGGGAAGCUAUUUCAAUUUUCAAGAAAGAAUCUGUUUUGAAUAUCAAACUUUAUUCUACUUGAAUAAGACAGAACUUUUAAAUGGCUCCACCACUUUUUGUGUCAAAGUUUUUGUGUUUAUUGGUUAUAAAAAGGAAGCUGUACCUUUCAUGGCACACGCAGUCCUCAAAGAAUUAUUUAAAUACAAUACAUGUUUUCUAAAUUAAAAAACUAAACCCAUGUAAUAGAUGUUGAGGAUAUAAAAUUUAAAUAAACAAAAACCUGCAAAAGAGCUUUUAUUUUAUGAAAGGCAGAAAUCACCCCUUAAAUCACCCAAUUAAAUUUCAUUCUAUGAAGUUCAAAUAAACUAACAUUUCAAGGAUUCUGUACUUCCCUUAUUGUGUUGAAAAACAUAGAAAUCAUUUAAUUACAGUAUCUUAAUUAUUUUCUCAGAAAGUGUUAUAUACAAUAUCCUGCUUUUUGAAAUAAAAAUGUUAACCACU